CCAAACCCAGCUCGCUAACCGGCGCGGGCAGAGUACAGCUCCCAGGCUCCCGAAGCUUCCCACAUCUGGAGGAUGACGACCCUCCCCUGACCACAUCUGGAGGGCGUCCAGCUGCGAGCCAGCGGGGCACAGCUCUCUUCUCCUGGCCUGGAUCCCCACCCCCCCAACCCAGGAAGACUGACCGGCGCCACUCCAGAAAGCUGUGGGUACCCGGGAGCGGAGCGCCGCGGGUGUGCUGGGCGCCGGUGGAGGGGGGAACAGCGAGGAUUAGACGCCGGGAAGCACUUCCCCAACAUCUGCGAGAGGUAGACACGGCGGAACCUAGUGGAAUCCCAUCAUCGCGUGCACAUCUCAUCCCAGGAGGGAGAGAGGAGCUGCCGAGUAGAAAGCAGACUGGCUGCAGGGACAGAAGACACCAAGGGCACCCUCCCCCACAGCUGCGCCUGGACCUCCUGCGAGAAGAGGAAGCCUUAGGGGUCUUUAUUGUACCCUCAAGACCCCAGAGAGAAACAGAAGUGCUGAGGGGUCGCAGGCAGGUCUCUUACCCUCUCUGGGCCUCGAAUAUUUAUCCAUAGGAGGCUGAAGGUAACUGCCUUCGCAACUCAUUCAUGAGGGUCAAUGGGACGACAGUGGCAAGAGGGGUUGGCACACUGCCCAGACUGUUCCAAAGCCAGGGCUGGGGCUGCCAAAAAGGCCACCUGUGCUUCACCAUGCUCCAUCCUCCCUCUCUUCCACCUCCCCAGGCUGGGCUCCACUUGUCCAGCUCUCUGACUUCCUGGCAAGGUUGAGUAGGCUCCAGCUAGGAAGGGGCCAGCUGACCUUGUUGGCCGGAGCACUAAUCCCCUCCAGAUGGGCUGGUGGCUUGCACUGAGGGCCUGGCUGCCCAGACAGAGCUGACUCUGGUCCCAGUGACCAUGUGUGGCUAUGUGUGACCGUGUGAAGGGAGCAAUUCCAUCCAGUCUCCCGGUUCCUUCCUGCUUCACUCCUCCCCACUGCUGACAUCCCCCACAAGCAGUGGCCCCAUGAAGGCCUUCUUGUCUCUAGUAGCCUCUUUUGGCUCUCUGUGUUGCUUAGCUGGAGGGCUGAGGAUGCCUGGCACAGCCGAUUCCCAAAGGCCUCAGAGGGACAGCUCCUCCCCCUGCUUCCCCCACCCCGUCAGCCCCAUCACUCUGCACCUGCCCUUCCCAAAGCAUGUGUCCCAGUCCCCAUCCCUCAACCCAAGGAAGAUGUAUGUGUCAAGGACAGGACUCAGGAGCAUUUCCCAACAUUUAGGGGAAAGGAUGAGGUCACAGGAAGGCUUUCUCUGCAGCAAGAAGGACUCAGAUAGAUUUGGGGAAGGACUUCCAACCCAACAGAUGUUCCAAACGAAAGAGAACUCUUUCUUUGGACCAGCUUGUAUGAAAGCAGACAAAUGGACAACAUGACCUCCUGCAAGGAGGCCCUGCUUCCAUCCUUUCGAGGCUGGGGCUAGAUGGAUACCCCAAAAGAAAUGUCUUAGUCGUGACAAUAGCAGCUCCCACAAUGCACCAGGGCAUAUGCAAAGUCACCAUUCUGUGAAAUAUAAAAGCUCAUAUAAAGC
rnacentral:lncRNA from 10 species